AACGGCAGCGGCACCGGAGCGGUCAUGAGCGAGCGCAGUCCCUGUGAGACUCCCCCCCCCGCGGCGGAGGCCCCCGGCGGGCAGCAGGAAGCCCCUGUCCUGGUGGUCGUCGUCGUCGUCCCCCCCAGCCAAAGGCGGUGACCCCAAGAAGGAGGAGGAGGAGGAGAUCGACAUCGACCUGAGCGCGCCCGAGACGGAGAGAGCCGCGCUCGCCAUCCAGGG